AGUGAACGCUGGCGGUAGGCCUAACACAUGCAAGUCGAACGGCAGCACAGUAAGAGCUUGCUCUUACGGGUGGCGAGUGGCGGACGGGUGAGGAAUACAUAGGAAUCUACUUUUUCGUGGGGGAUAACGUAGAGAAACUUACGCUAAUACCGCAUACGUCCUACGGGUGAAAUCAGAGGAGAUUCGGACCUUGCGCGAUAGAAUGAGCCGAUGUCGGAUUAGCUAGUUGGCGAGGUAAAGGCACACCAAGGCGACGAUCCGUAGCAGGUCUGAGAGGAUGAUCGGCCACACUGGAACUGAGACACGGUCCAGACUCCUACGGGAGGCAGCAGUGGGGAAUAUUGCACAAUGGGCGCAAGCCUGAUCCAGCCAUACCGCGUGGGUGAAGAAGGCCUUCGGGUUGUAAAGCCCUUUUGUUGGGAAAGAACAUCAGCAGGUUAAACCCCGGCCGUUCUGACGGUACCCAAAGAAUAAGCACCGGCUAACUUCGUG
rnacentral:rRNA from 1 species